AGCUCUUUGAAGAGUUAUAUUUUGUUGCUGGAAACAUAGACACCUCCUACGACUGCAAUUUUCUGGACUUCAAUUGCUUGUGAAAUGUCCUUUGGAAACGCUAAGCAAGUAUCAAGGGCACCGUUAUCUUUCUUUUUCUACCCAGGUGAAACUGCAGAGUAAAUCUGGACAGUGAGUUCCAGGGGACUGCACGAGCUACUCUUCAUCGGUACCUGGAUCACUAAGCUGACUGACACCACAAACUGUGCAGAAAUAUGACAGGGAAUUGGGAAGAUGUAAAGUAAGCCUCAGUUUCCUCCAAAAGGAAAGCUGAAAGCUGAUAAGAUGUGAUCCCUAGCAAAUUCCAGAGGCUCCACGGCACCAUCCUGCUGGAGAUAAUGAUUUCCAUAUGGACUCUGCUUUCUUAAGAGUUCCAGUGGCAGUGAGAAUAUGGUACAUGACCGUUGGCAGGAGGAGCGAGUGGCAGCAUCUAAGGGACAAAGAAUAGUACCCAGCAACAUGCUUCACACUGGCAUCUUGAAAAAGAGGAACUAAUUGUGACUAGAUGGACUCAUGAAAUUGAUGAGGAGGGCCUCCUCUGGGGAUCAGGAACCCUCGCAGCACAUUCACCAAGACUGAUGUCCUGGACUGUAGUAGCUUUGGGACUUUGGCCAGAGAAAGACAGAAGUUGCCUACCUGGCUAAGGAUUCAAAUGAGAUUACAUGUGACCCCAGGUGAGGUGUUUUUCUUUGUUCCAGUGGUCCUUUAUGUCCUAGAAACCCUACAACAUUGAAUCUGUUCCCUGCAUUUCCCUGAUGGACACUGUUGGUCUACUCACAGGAACCAUUCAUCGAUCCUGCUCUCUGGAGAUGGCGCUUCUUAGAUUCUUAACACCACAACGUGGCUUAAAGAUAAAGAAAAGAGAACUUAAAAAAUAUAAAAUAAUGGUAACAUUGACAGACAUCUGGAGGAGGAGGAUGUAAGAUCAGUAUUAAAACACUGUUCCUUGGGGCUGGGCUUGUGGCUCAGUGGUAGAGCAUUUUGCCUAGCACGUGUGAGGCCCUGGGUUCA